rnacentral:rRNA from 1 species
CGGUUGGAUCACCUCCUUA